GGCAUGCGCAGCUACACAUGCAAGUCGAGCGGUAACAGAUCCAGCUUGCUGGAUGCUGACGAGCGGCGGACGGGUGAGUAAUGCAUAGGAAUCUGCCCGAUAGUGGGGGAUAACCUGGGGAAACCCAGGCUAAUACCGCAUACGUCCUACGGGAGAAAGGGGGCUUCGGCUCCCGCUAUCGGAUGAGCCUAUGUCGGAUUAGCUAGUUGGUGAGGUAACGGCUCACCAAGGCCACGAUCCGUAGCUGGUCUGAGAGGAUGAUCAGCCACAUCGGGACUGAGACACGGCCCGAACUCCUACGGGAGGCAGCAGUGGGGAAUAUUGGACAAUGGGGGGAACCCUGAUCCAGCCAUGCCGCGUGUGUGAAGAAGGCCCUCGGGUUGUAAAGCACUUUCAGCGAGGAAGAACGCCUAUCGGUUAAUACCCGCUAGGAAAGACAUCACUCGCAGAAGAAGCACCGGCUAACUCCGUGCCAGCAGCCGCGGUAAUACGGAGGGUGCAAGCGUUAAUCGGAAUUACUGGGCGUAAAGCGCGCGUAGGUGGCUUGAUAAGCCGGUUGUGAAAGCCCCGGGCUCAACCUGGGAACGGCAUCCGGAACUGUCAAGCUAGAGUGCAGGAGAGGAAGGUAGAAUUCCCGGUGUAGCGGUGAAAUGCGUAGAGAUCGGGAGGAAUACCAGUGGCGAAGGCGGCCUUCUGGACUGACACUGACACUGAGGUGCGAAAGCGUGGGUAGCAAACAGGAUUAGAUACCCUGGUUAGUCAA
rnacentral:rRNA from 1 species